rnacentral:rRNA from 1 species
GACGAACGCUGGCGGCGUGCUUAACACAUGCAAGUCGAGCGGUAAGGCCUUUCGGGGUACACGAGCGGCGAACGGGUGAGUAACACGUGGGUGAUCUGCCCUGCACUUCGGGAUAAGCCUGGGAAACUGGGUCUAAUACCGGAUAUGACCUCCUAUCGCAUGGUGGGUGGUGGAAAGAUUUAUCGGUGCAGGAUGGGCCCGCGGCCUAUCAGCUUGUUGGUGGGGUAAUGGCCUACCAAGGCGACGACGGGUAGCCGACCUGAGAGGGUGACCGGCCACACUGGGACUGUGACACGGCCCAGACUCCUACGGGAGGCAGCAGUGGGGAAUAUUGCACAAUGGGCGAAAGCCUGAUGCAGCGACGCCGCGUGAGGGAUGACGGCCUUCGGGUUGUAAACCUCUUUCAGCAGGGACGAAGCGCAAGUGACGGUACCUGCAGAAGAAGCACCGGCUAACUACGUG